rnacentral:sRNA from 1 species
GCCAGGCGUGGUAGCGUACGCCUGUAGUUCCAGCUACUCAGAAGGCUGAGGUGGAAGGAUUGCUGGAGUCCAGCAGGUCGACGCUGGCGUGGCUGUGAGCGUGCCACUGUACUCCAGCCUGGGUGAAGGAGUGAGACUCCAACUCAAAGAAAAUACAAAAUAAAAAACAAAUUAAAUUUAAAAAAAUUAGUUGGGCAUGGUGGUCAAGGCUGUGGUGGCCGUGAGCAUGCCACUGCACUCCAGCUUGGGCAAUAGAGUGAGACUCCAACUCA